GAUGAACGCUGGCGGCGUGCCUAAUACAUGCAAGUCGAGCGAACGGACGAGAAGUUUUCUUUUCUUAUGUUAGCGGCGGACGGGUAAGUAACACGUGGACAACCUACCUAUAUGACUGGGAUAACUUCGGCAAACCGUAGCUACUACCGGAUAAUAUUUUGAACCGCAUGGUUCAAAAGUGAAAGACGGUCUUGCUGUCACUUAUAGAUGUAUCCGCGCUGCAUUAGCUAGUUGGUAAGGUAACGGCUUACCAAGGCAACGAUGCAUAGCCGACCUGAGAGGGUGAUCGCCCACACGGGAACGGAGACGCGGUCCAGACUCCUACGGGAGGGCGCAGUAGGGAAUGUUACGCAACGGGGGAAAGCCUGACAGAGCAACGCCGCGUGAGUGAUGAAGGUGCUCGGAUCGGAAAGCUCUGUUACUAGUGAAAAACAUAUGUGUAUGUAAACGUGCACAUAUUGACGGUACCUGAACAAAAAGCACCGGCUAACUACGUG
rnacentral:rRNA from 1 species